CCAAGCGAUGGGGUGACGCAGGAAGGUAGCUGGGCCAGUCAGUGGUUGUACUGGUGUAAGAGUGUAGGCCGUGACAUAGGCAAAUCCGUGUCACAUUAAGGCUGAGACUUGAUGCAUACCCGUUGUGGGGAAUUCAGUGAUCCUAUGCUGCCGAGAAAAGCCUCUAGUGAGUUCAUACACGGCCCGUACCCCAAACCGACAAAGGUGAUCAGGUAGAGAAUACCAAGGCGAUCGAGAGAACUGUGGUUAAGGAACUCGGCAAAAUGCCCCCGUAACUUCGGGAGAAGGGGGACCAUGCCCGGUGAACAUCUUCACGGUGGGGGCUGGGUGUGGUCGCAGAGACCAGAGAGAAGCGACUGUUUACUAAAACACAGGUCCGUGCGAAGACGUAAGUCGAUGUAUACGGACUGACGCCUGCCCGGUGCUGGAAGGUUAAGAGGACCGGUUAGCCGUAAGGCGAAGCUGAGAAUUUAAGCCCCAGUAAACGGCGGUGGUAACUAUAACCAUCCUAAGGUAGCGAAAUUCCUUGUCGGGUAAGUUCCGACCUGCACGAAUGGCGUAACGACUUCUCUGCUGUCUCGACCACAGACUCGGCGAAAUUGCACUACGAGUAAAGAUGCUCGUUACGCGCGGCAGGACGAAAAGACCCCGGGACCUUUACUAUAGCUUGGUAUUGGCGUUCGAUUCGGUUUGUGUAGGAUAGGUGGGAGACUGUGAAGCAUGCACGCCAGUGUGUGUGGAGUCGUUGUUGAAAUGCCACUCUGAUCGUAUUGGACGUCUAACCUCGGCCCAUGAUCUGGGUUAGGGACAGUGCCUGGUGGGUAGUUUAACUGGGGCGGUUGCCUCCUAAAGAGUAACGGAGGCGCCCAAAGGUUCCCUCAGCCUGGAUGGCAAUCAGGUGUUGAGUGCAAGUGCACAAGGGAGCUUGACUGUGAGACUGACACGUCGAGCAGGGACGAAAGUCGGGACUAGUGAUCCGGCACCGGCAAGUGGAAGCGGUGUCGCUCAACGGAUAAAAGGUACCCCGGGGAUAACAGGCUGAUCUUCCCCAAGAGUCCAUAUCGACGGGAUAGUUUGGCACCUCGAUGUCGGCUCGUCGCAUCCUGGGGCUGGAGUAGGUCCCAAGGGUUGGGCUGUUCGCCCAUUAAAGCGGCACGCGAGCUGGGUUUAGAACGUCGUGAGACAGUUCGGUCUCUAUCCGCCGCGCGCGUAAGAAACUUGAGGAAGGCUGUCCCUAGUACGAGAGGACCGGGACGGACGAACCUCUGGUGUGCCAGUUGUUCCACCAGGAGCAUGGCUGGUUAGCUACGUUCGGAAGGGAUAACCGCUGAAAGCAUCUAAGCGGGAAGCCUGUUCCAAGAUGAGGUUUCUCACCACCUUGCGUGGUUAAGGCCCCCUACAGACCAUGGGGUUGAUAGGCCGGAACUGGAAGCGCAGCAAUGCGUGGAGGUGACCGGUACUAAUAGGCCGAGGGCUU
rnacentral:rRNA from 1 species